GUAGAGUAAAUAUCAGGCGUUAAGUGUCACCGGGAUGGGAUGUUGCCCGGAGAACGAAAACGGCCCGCAUCACAUUUGUGAUCCGCCGGGAGUUGCGAUUUGAUAUUGCAUCCGCUA
rnacentral:ncRNA from 1 species